rnacentral:rRNA from 1 species
UGAACUUAAGCAUAUCAUA